rnacentral:rRNA from 1 species
GCAACGAGCGCAACCCCUGCAUUCAGUGCCAGCAAGUAAUGUUGGGGACUCAGAUGGAACUGCCGGUGACAAACCGGAGGAAGGUGGGGACGACGUCAAGUCAUCAUGGCCCUUAUGUCCUGGGCUACACACGUGCUACAAUGGCCGGUACAGAGCGCAGCGAAGCCGCGAGGCAAAGCGAAUCGCAAAAAGCCGGUCUCAGUACGGAUUGGAGUCUGAAACUCGACUCCAUGAAGUUGGAAUCGCUAGUAAUCGCGCAUCAGCAUGGCGCGGUGAAUACGUUCCCGGGCCUU